rnacentral:rRNA from 1 species
GAAGAACCUUACCAGGGCUUGACAUGCACGUGGUAGCGAAGCGAAAGCGGAGCGACCCUUCGGGGAGCGUGCACAGGUGCUGCAUGGCUGUCGUCAGCUCGUGUCGUGAGAUGUUCGGUUAAGUCCGCUAACGAGCGCAACCCUCGCCGCGUGUUACAAGUGUCACGCGGGACUGCCAGUCUUAAGCUGGAGGAAGGUGGGGAUGACGUCAAGUCCUCAUGGCCCUUACAGGCUGGGCUACACACGUGCUACAAUGGCGGUGACAAUGGGAAGCGAAAGGGCGACCUGGAGCAAAUCUCAAAAAGCCGUCUCAGUUCGGAUUGCACUCUGCAACUCGAGUGCAUGAAGGUGGAAUCGCUAGUAAUCGCAGAUCAGCACGCUGCGGUGAAUACGUUCCCGGGCCUUG